CUUCAAAUAAUUGAUGGGGUUUUUUUUGGAAAGUCUGUGAGUUGAGUGACAGAAAGGACGAACGAAAUGUCUUUCAAGAACAAGUUAGCAGAGCCGCCUUCUAAGAGCGUAGUGUCUAGGAGAUGGACCUUAUUGUUUUGUGUCGGCAGCUUUUUUGUUGGAAUGCUCUUCACUAGCAGGUAUUUCGCCAUUUGAGGUUUCUUCUUCUUGAGUUCCCACCUGUUUUAUAUCUUUAA